rnacentral:rRNA from 1 species
UGAGGAAUAUUGGUCAAUGGGCGAGAGCCUGAACCAGCCAAGUCGCGUGAAGGAAGACAGUCCUAAGGAUUGUAAACUUCUUUUAUACGGGAAUAACGGGCGAUACGAGUAUUGCAUUGAAUGUACCGUAAGAAUAAGCAUCGGCUAACUCCGUGCCAGCAGCCGCGGUAAUACGGAGGAUGCGAGCGUUAUCCGGAUUUAUUGGGUUUAAAGGGUGCGUAGGUUGUUCGGUAAGUCAGCGGUGAAACCUGAGCGCUCAACGUUCAGCCUGCCGUUGAAACUGCCGGGCUUGAGUUCAGUGGCGGCAGGCGGAAUUCGGGGUGUAGCGGUGAAAUGCAUAGAUAUCACGAGGAACUCCGAUUGCGAAGGCAGCUUGCCAUACUGCGACUGACACUGAAGCACGAAGGCGUGGGUAUCAAACAGG